rnacentral:lncRNA from 1 species
CCAGGCCCUGCUCCAGGCCCUGGGAAUGUGUGUGCAGCUCCUGCCCUACGGAGCUCAGACCUCUGCACGGGAUGAGACAUGCAUGUGGCUGCAGCCAGUUAGCGAGAGCUGUUAGGUACUUUGAGAACAUCCCCAAGGGUCUAGACCAGGAAGGCUGGACUCGAGGUGGCAUCCAGCCCCAGAUGCCAGGAGGCUACGCCCUCAGCCAGCCGGUCAGCUGCAUGGAGGCCACCCCCAACCCCAUGGAGAGCCUGCGGCACCUGCAUCCCCACGUGGGAAGAACCCUGACCUCAGCCGACCCCUUCUACCAGAACACACCUCACAGCAGCCGCUGCGUGGCACACAGCUGAGCCCUGAGCCCUUGGUUUGUCAAUCCUAGGGGACAGGAGCCAGGCUACUGUCUGUACCCCCACUCCAUCCCCCAGGGGAACACCCCUGCCCAGCUACUUUCCUAAUGAAAUAAAGAGCAUUGAAGCAGA